GGCUGGGGGCUGUGCGGCAGAGUCCUCCGAACCCCGCCAGGUCCGGAAGGAAGCAACGGUAAGGUACGACUUCUGGGUGUCGCAGUUUUCUGGCUUUCA
rnacentral:SRP_RNA from 1 species